GAUGAACGCUGGCGGCGUGCCUAAUACAUGCAAGUCGAGCGAACAGACGAGGAGCUUGCUCCUCUGACGUUAGCGGCGGACGGGAGAGUAACACGUGGAUAACCUACCUAUAAGACUGGGAUAACUUCGGGACACCGGAGCUAAUACCGGAUAAUAUAUUGAACCGCAUGGUUCAAUAGUGAAAGACGGUUUUGCUGUCACUUAUAGAUGGAUCCGCGCGGCAUUAGCUAGUUGGUAAGGUAACGGCUUUCCAAGGCGACGAUGCGUAGCCGACCUGAGAGGGUGAUCGGCCACACUGGAACUGGGACACGGUCCAGACUCCUACGGGAGGCAGCAGAAGGGAAUCUUCCGCAAUGGGCGAAAGCCUGACGGAGCAACGCGGCGUGAGUGAUGAAGGUCUUCGGAGCGUAAAACUCUGUUAUUAGGGAAGAACAAAUGUGUAAGUAACUAUGCACGUCUUGACGGUACCUAAUCAGAAAGCCACGGCUAACUACGUG
rnacentral:rRNA from 1 species